UGAGGAAUCUUGGCGCAAUGGGGGAAACCCUGACGCAGCCACGCCGCGUGGGUGAAGAAGGCCUUCGGGCUGUAAAGCCCUGUCAGGUGGGAAGAACCGCAGUCUGGCCAAUACCUGGACUGCUUGACGGUACCACCAAAGGAAGCGCCGGCUAACUCCGUGCCAGCAGCCGCGGUAAUACGGAGGGUGCAAGCGUUGUUCGGAAUUACUGGGCGUAAAGCGCGUGUAGCGGACCGGUAAGUUGGGAGUGAAAGCCCUGGGCUCAACCCAGGAAGUGCUUCCAAUACUGCCGGCCUUGAGUUCCGGAGAGGGGUGGUGGAAUUCCCGGUGUAGAGGUGAAAUUCGUAGAUAUCGGGAGGAACACCAGUGGCGAAGGCGACCACCUGGACGAGAACUGACGCUGAGACGCGAAAGCGUGGGGAGCAAACAGGAUUAGAUACCCUGGGUAGUCCACGCCGUAAAACGGUGUUCACUAAGGUGUAGCGGGUAUUGACCCCCGCUGUGCCGCAGCUAA
rnacentral:rRNA from 1 species